UACGUAGGUGGCAAGCGUUGUCCGGAUUCAUUGGGUUUAAAGGGUGCGUAGGCGGCUAUGUAAGUCAGUGGUGAAAUAUGUCAGCUUAACUGAGAGGGUGCCAUUGAUACUGCAGAACUUGAGUACUGGUGAGGUAGGCGGAAUUGACGGUGUAGCGGUGAAAUGCUUAGAUAUCGUCAAGAACACCUAUAGCGAAGGCAGCUUACUAGGCUGUAACUGACGCUGAGGCACGAAAGUGUGGGGAUCAAACAGG
rnacentral:rRNA from 1 species